rnacentral:snRNA from 1 species
AGAUUUGUGUAGUGGCAGUAUCAUAGCCAAUGAGGUUUAUCCAAACUGUGAUUAUUGCUAAUUGGAAAAAAAAAAAAAAGAAACCUUUCUUUGAAACGUGUUUUUUUUUUUUAAACCAUGGUUU